GACGAACGCUGGCGGCGUGCUUAACACAUGCAAGUCGAGCGGUAAGGCCCCUUCGGGGGUACACGAGCGGCGAACGGGUGAGUAACACGUGAGCAAUCUGCCCAUCACAUCGGGAUAACUCCCGGAAACCGAAGCUAAUACCCAAUACGACCACCCCCGGCAUCGGGUGGUGGUGGAAAGUUCCGGCGGUGGUGGAUGAGCGCGCGGCCUAUCAGCUUGUUGGUGGGGUAAGGGCCCACCAAGGCUUCGACGGGUAGCCGGCCUGAGAGGGUGACCGGCCACACUGGGACUGAGACACGGCCCAGACUCCUACGGGAGGCAGCAGUGGGGAAUAUUGGACAAUGGGCGGAAGCCUGAUCCAGCAACGCCGCGUGAGGGAUGACGGCCUUCGGGUUGUAAACCUCUUUCAGCAGGGACGAAGCGAAAGUGACGGUACCUGCAGAAGAAGCACCGGCCAACUACGUG
rnacentral:rRNA from 1 species